rnacentral:rRNA from 1 species
AUGGCCUCCGACGGCGAUGGCGUCCACGGCGGAGGAGGAGGCUUCUGCAACAGCGACUUCAUGGAGCUGCGGCCGGAGAAGGGCGGGGUGCGCGACCUCCUCCACCUCCUGUGGUCGCCGAACGUCGCGGAGAACGACGCCGUGGACUGCCCCACGGGCACGGAGAUCGAAUCGGCGCGGCGGCGGUGGGCCGUGUUCGUGUCGCUGGUGGCGCAGAUGGUGCUCCUGUGGGCGAAGCGGCCAGUGGCGCUGCUGGGGCGGGCGGCCGAGUACUGGAUGAACCUCCUCAACGAGAACGGCGGCGGCGUCCUCCCGCUCCUCGCCAACGCCCUGCAUGGGAAGGUGAAAAUGCCAGACAGAGCGUCCCUGAACUACCGUUCCUGCAUCGGGCUGCUCGACACGAGGGUCGAGCUGGACAAGAAGAUCAAACCCGGGGACAGCAACUACCACGCCGCGCUGUCGAUCAUGGCGGCGAAGCUGGCCUACGAGAACGAGCUCGUCAUCAGCAGCGUCGUGCAGAACCACUGGCACAUGGAGUUCCUGGGCUUCUACAACUGCUGGAACGACUAUGAAGAGGACUAUACGAGGCAGGCGUUCAUGCUGGCGGACGCGCCGGCGCCGGACGCGACGCUGGCGGUGGUGGCCUUCUGCGGCACCAAGCCGUUCGACACGGAGCAGUGGUGCACGGACGUGGACUUCUCCUGGUACCAGCUCCCGGGCGCCGGAGCCGGCUGCCGCGUCCACGGCGGCUUCAUGAAGGCGCUGGGCCUGCACCGGCGCGGCGGCGGCUGGCCGAGGGACGUCGCCGACCCCACCGGCGCCGGCAACGGCAGGCCGUUCGCCUACUACGCCAUCAGGGAGAAGCUCAAACGUUUCCUGGACGGCAACCCGGGCGCCAGGUUCGCGGUCGCCGGGCACAGCCUGGGUGGCGCGCUGGCCGUGCUGUUCCCGACCGUGCUGGCGCUGCACGGGGAGGAGGCCGUGCUGGGGAGGCUGCAGGGCGUGUACACGUUCGGGCAGCCCCGCGUGGGCGACGAGCGGCUCGGGGCCUUCAUGGCGCCGCACCUCGAGAACCCCAGCCGGUACUUCAGGUUCGUCUACUGCAACGACAUCGUGCCCCGUGUGCCCUACGACGACUCCACGCUCCUCUUCAAGCACUUCGGGACCUGCCUCUACUUCGACAGCUUCUACAGAGGACAGGUGACCGUGGAGGAGCCCAACAAGAACUACUUCUCGGUGCUGGCCGUGGCGCCCAAGCUGGUGAACGCGUGGUGGGAGCUCGCCCGGAGCUUCCUCAUCGGCUACGCGGAGGGGCCCGAGUACGCCGAGGGGUGGCUGAUGCGGCUGGCCAGGGUCGCCGCGCUGGUGAUGCCGGGGCUGCCACCGCACGCGCCGCAGGACUACGUCAACGCCACCAGGCUCGGGGCGGCGUCGCUCGGGCCGCUGGAGCUAGCCGAGCAGCCAUUGUAA